GACGAACACUGGCGGCGUGCUUAACACAUGCAAGUCGAACGAAGAGCGAUGGAAGCUUGCUUCUAUCAAUCUUAGUGGCGAACGGGUGAGUAACGCGUAAUCAACCUGCCCUUCAGAGGGGGACAACAGUUGGAAACGACUGCUAAUACCGCAUACGAUCUAAUCUCGGCAUCGAGGAUGGAUGAAAGGUGGCCUCUAUUUAUAAGCUAUCACUGAAGGAGGGGAUUGCGUCUGAUUAGCUAGUUGGAGGGGUAACGGCCCACCAAGGCGAUGAUCAGUAGCCGGUCUGAGAGGAUGAACGGCCACAUUGGGACUGAGACACGGCCCAGACUCCUACGGGAGGCAGCAGUGGGGAAUCUUCCGCAAUGGACGAAAGUCUGACGGAGCAACGCCGCGUGAGUGAUGACGGCCUUCGGGUUGUAAAGCUCUGUUAAUCGGGACGAAAGGCCUUCUUGCGAAUAGUUAGAAGGAUUGACGGUACCGGAAUAGAAAGCCACGGCUAACUACGUGCCAGCAGCCGCGGUAAUACGUAGGUGGUAAGCGUUGUCCGGAAUUAUUGGGCGUAAAAGCGCGCG
rnacentral:rRNA from 1 species